UUUGUGAAGUCUUCUUCCUGGAACAUUCCGUGAUACCUUCCCACCAACCAACCAAUCUACGCUGCCUUUUCUCUCCCCACAGAAGUCCAACUUGCUCCACCGUGAAGGAAUUAGAGGAAGAUCAAUUGACCUCACCUGAGUUGAAUAUCUACCAAGAUUAAGCCGGAUGGGAGAAGUGGACGAUUCCAGGUCAUUUGUUGGGAAAGCAGAGCAUCUGAAGAGCAAAAAUGUAAUUGAAAGCCGACUACAGGAAAAGAAGAGAAGCAGAAAAGAAAUAUAUUUAGGAAAUACGGACAAAGAUUGUCUUGGAUUCCAUGAAGAUCAGCUGUUAGGAGAUAUGUGA
rnacentral:lncRNA from 1 species